rnacentral:rRNA from 1 species
UGAGCAAUCUGCCCUUCUCUUUGGAAUAAGCGUGGGAAACCGCGUCUAAUGCCGAAUACGACCUCCUUUCGCAUGAUCGGAGGUGGAAAGCUCCGGCGGAGAAGGAUGAGCUCGCGGCCUAUCAGCUAGUUGGUGUGGGUAAUGGCCCACAAGGCGACGGACGGGUAGCCGGCCUGAGAGGGUGACCGGCACACGUGGGACUGAGACACGGCCCAGACCUCCGUACGGGAGGNAGCG